UCAGACUAGUAAUGAGGUGGUUAUAUCUGAAACACAGCAAAGCAAUGAGGCGGUUUUAUCUGAAACACAAGAAAGCAAUGAGGAGGCGGUUUUAUCUGAAACACAGCAAAGCAAUGAGGUGGUUUUAUCUGAAACACAACAGAGCAACGAGGUGAUUUUAUCUGAAACACAACAAAGCAAUGAGGUGGUUUUACCAGAAACACAACAAAGCAACAGGGUGGUUUUACCUGAAACACAGCAAACAGAUGAGGCGGUUUUAUCUGAAACACAGCAAAGUGAUGAGCUGAUUACAUAUGAAACU
rnacentral:lncRNA from 1 species